CUAAUAGGGCUGCUUUAGCAGGAUACUUUGAUAUAGUAUAUUGUGGGUUUAUUACCCCGUUGGU
rnacentral:tRNA from 1 species